AGUGAACGCUGGCGGUAGGCCUAACACAUGCAAGUCGAACGGCAGCACAGUAAGAGCUUGCUCUUACGGGUGGCGAGUGGCGGACGGGUGAGGAAUACAUCGGAAUCUACUUUUUCGUGGGGGAUAACGUAGGGAAACUUACGCUAAUACCGCAUACGACCUACGGGUGAAAGCAGGGGAUCUUCUGACCUUGCGCGAUUGAAUGAGCCGAUGUCGGAUUAGCUAGUUGGCGGGGUAAAGGCCCACCAAGGCGACGAUCCGUAGCUGGUCUGAGAGGAUGAUAAGCCACACUGGAACUGAGACACGGUCCAGACGCCUACGGGAGGCAGCAGUGGGGAAUAUUAGACAAUGGGCGCAAGCCUGAUCCAGCCAGACCGCGUGGGUGAAGAAGGCCUUCGGGUUGUAAAGCCCUUUUGUUGGGAAAGAAAAGCAGCAGGUUAAUACCCCGCUGUUCUGACGGUACCCAAAGAAUAAGCACCGGCUAACUUCGUG
rnacentral:rRNA from 1 species